rnacentral:lncRNA from 1 species
UUUCAACUUAUGGCCCAAGAAAAUAGAAGUCAGAAUCAAAAUCCAGCAUGCAGAACUUGUUGUAAAACAUGGCAGUACAGGACUUGCUACAUUGGUCUUUGCUAGCUUCAAUGCCUGGAAUGCAAACUUCGGGUCCCUUGUUAGUAGAAAGAUGCACAGAUGCGGCUCUGUUGACUCAGUUGUUUAAAUACAUAUUGUCAAACAAAAUAUUUGCAGCACUGAUGCCAAGUUCCUCCUGACAUUCACAAUAAUAUUGAAUUUGACUCAACCAAACAAGUGUGACAAUAUGUGGAAUAAAAUUUCAUCUAGGUUUUAUCUGGUUUCAAACUCUCUUAGAUUUAACACUCUUUUGUGGUUUUCAAUUUGAAACAGAAUUUGGCUAAGUUUUGGUGAUUGAAGCUGUAGAGCCAUUAAAUUAAAAAGGUAUGCUACUACUAUUUAAAGCGUCGUUUAGCUUAAUGCUAAAUUGUCCUCAAAAUUGUUCCAGUUUAAGCCUGCAAAAAGCUUUACAAUAUGAUCAUUUUCUGGAGAUCAUUUUUCUUGAAGGUUGAAACUAAAUUACUAUGAAAAUAUUUUCAGUAUUAUUUAAAUAAAAACUUUAGAACCUCAUGGAAUGUGUGCAAGUAAUUCCUGUAUCUUUUCAUUACAAUAACAACACUUUAACAGAAGUAGAAUUUUUUUUAACGAAGUGACUUUUCUUUUUUCUUUUUCUUUUUUAUUUUUCUUUCUUUCUUUUUUUUUUUUUUUUUGAGAUAGGGUCUUACUCUGUUGCCCAGGCUGGAGUGCAGUGACGCCAUCUUGGUUCACUGGAACUUCUGCCUGUUAGACUCAAGCAAUCCUCACACCUCAGUCUCCUGAGUAGCUGGGACUACAGGCAUCUGCCACUAUGCCCGGCUAAUUUUUUGUAUUUCUGUUAGAGAUGGGGUUUCACCGUGUUGCCCGGGCUGGUCUCAAACUCCUGGGCUCAAGCAAUCCACCUGCCUCAGCCUCCCAAUGUGCUGGGAUUACAGGAGUGAGUCACGACGCACAGCCAACAAAGUGAUUUUUAUCUGAAAGUAAUUGCUUUAGCGCAGGAAAACAGCCUGCCUGCUGCAUGGCACGAGUGACUACGCCACCAUCUUGAGGAAAACCAUCACAAUGCCCAAUGUUUGACUCCUGCGUAUCACGGUGUUCUGAAGCAAGGUCUUUUUCCCCGGAAGUAACAAGUCACAGCAUGGAAGUCUGAGAUGUAACUAGCUGCACUUGUCUUUACCCUAAAUGCUUGCUAUCUAAAGGACAUUCUCUAGAGGAGAUUGCGAAAUCCACCGUAUCACAACCACCCAAGAUAUCAUUUCUGUUCAUAAGUCCCUAUUAAAUAUGUAUUUCUGAGAAACUGGCUUUUUUUCAGCAUCUUUCUUCAGCAUCUCAGCUCCCUCAGCCUUUGGGGGUAGAUUUGAAUAUACCCAUCAUUUUUAUGGUCUUAGCAUG